UUUUUUUUUUUUUUUUUUUUUUGUAGUAACACUGGCUAAUUUUUAAAGGGGCAGUCAACCACUACCCUACUGUUAUUAAUUUGAAGUGUAAAUCUAUAAAUCUCAUGGUCAAAACAUUUGUUUUACAGCACUGACAUCAUCGUCCAAAAACAUCUAAAUAACAACACAAGGCAGGAGGAUGUUGCUGAUCCACCUAUUGGUGUUCAAGAGGAAUUAGCUGUCCUCAACCAACUCUGUGAUCUUAGCAGAGCCUGCUCCUGUCUUGUGGGAUUGACAUGUGCCUUGGACCUGUGAUACCCCAAGAACUUUAAAGGGACCCUUGCUGUCUAUGGAGGAUCAGAAAGCUCUUGGAUUUCAUCAAAAAUAUAUAUAUGUGUUCUGAUGAUGAACCAGAGGUCUUACGGGUUUGGAACAACAUGAGGGUAAGUAAUUAAUGACAAAAUUUUAUUUUUUUGUGAACUAACCCUUUAAUGACAUGUUUUUAUCUUUGGUCUAAUUUGGUAAGCAACGGUUAAUGCCUAUUAUUUUAAAUGUUAUUUUUGAUGAAUUUUGUAUGUUUGUAAGUGUCCACAGUUCAGUGGCUAAAAUGUAUGUAACAAGUUGUCAUUUGCAAAGUAUGGUUGAAAUGCAGUUAUGGUCAAAUAUGGCAAAUAAAAGUGUAAUUAAAAUACUGUGUUUUGUUUGUCAUUUAAUUUUGUUAUAUUUAUUGUAAAGUACAAUACAAUUAAAAAUAUAUAAGUUAAAAAAAAAAAAAAAGUAAAUAUAGGAUAUUUGUAU